CGAGAGAUCAUUAUGAUGAGGGUUGGUCCUCCAGCGUAUAAAAUCGGUUGGGACUAAGACGGGGCCAAGCCGGGUGUCAGCCGCCGCGGUAAUCCCCAGCCCCUGGAGUGGUGGGGAUAUUUAUGAGUCUAAAGGGUCCGUAGCCGGCUGUCUCGUUUCUCGGGAAAUUCAAGGGUCUUACACGUUGUAGUCCGGGGGAUACCACACAGCUAGAGGGUGGGAGAGGUAAGAGGUAUUUAGGGGGUAGGAGCGAAAUCCUUUGAUCCCAGGAGGACCACCAGUGGCGAAGGCUUCUCACCAGAACACGUCUGACGGUCAGGGACGAAAGCUGGGGCCGCGAACCGGAUUAGAUACCCGGGUAGUCCCAGCCGUAAACGAUGCUAGCUAGGUGUGGCUACAGUACGAGCCGCCCCAGUGCCGCAGGGAAGCCGUUAAGCGAGCCACCUGGGGAGUACGGCCGCAAGGCUGAAACUUAAAGGAAUUGCGGGGGAGC
rnacentral:rRNA from 1 species